rnacentral:rRNA from 1 species
AUGAACGCUGGCGGCGUGCCUAAUACAUGCAAGUCAAGCGAACAGACGAGGAGCUUGCUCCUCUGACGUUAGCGGCGGACGGGUGAGUAACACGUGGAUAACCUACCUAUAAGACUGGGAUAACUUCGGGAAACCGGAGCUAAUACCGGAUAAUAUAUUGAACCGCAUGGUUCAAUAGUGAAAGACGGUUUUGCUGUCACUUAUAGAUGGAUCCGCGCCGCAUUAGCUAGUUGGUAAGGUAACGGCUUACCAAGGCAACGAUGCGUAGCCGACCUGAGAGGGUGAUCGGCCACACUGGAACUGAGACACGGUCCAGACUCCUACGGGAGGCAGCAGUAGGGAAUCUUCCGCAAUGGGCGAAAGCUUGACGGAGCAACGCCGCGUGAGUGAUGAAGGUCUUCGGAUCGUAAAACUCUGUUAUUAGGGAAGAACAAAUGUGUAAGUAACUAUGCACGUCUUGACGGUACCUAAUCAGAAAGCCACGGCUAACUACGUG